UCCAUUUUGUUCAUUUUUAUCAAUAAUCCUAACAUUUAUGGUGAAAGCGUUUGUUGUAUAAUACCUAUUUUCUAACUGUCAACACUCACGACUUAAGUCUUAACUGUCACUACUCACUGCUGAAUAAUAUAAACAAAUAAAAAGAACAAAUUUCAGGCAAUUGACAAUUAACGUUAAUAAUGUAAAUAAAAUCUCGUAAUAAAUGUCUAUGUUUAAAAAUCUAUAAUUUUUUUAACUAUUUAAUAUUAAGAAGCCAAUACGGAGGAAUAAAUGAUUUUAUUAACAAUAGAUUUUUAAGCUAGGCCAAAAGAACUGUUGGUUUUAGUCCCUUUUUUGUGAAAUAUUGUUUUAAAUACACAAAAUACUUAAAUAUAAAAUAAAACAUAAAAGUGGGCCAAUCUUGAAGGCUAUUGAUUUUUGUGGGACUGUUCAAGUCAAAGCGUAGAAGAAAAUCUCAAGUGGAAGAACUAAAACAGAAAACUACAAAACCGGGUAAAGAAAGGUUCCAGUCGCAUCGUUUGAAAAGAUCAUUAUGAGAAAGCGAAAAUCGGAUCUUUCAAGACAAACAAGACAAGCUAGAAGAAUUAAAAAAGUCCGCUCACUAGAAACAGAAGAACAGAGAAUACAUAGGUUAGAAGUUAAUUCACAGCGUAUUGCUGCUGUCCGUAAAAAAGUUGCUUGGCUGAAAUCAUUGGAAACAUUUAUUCAGCUUCAAGAAAAUAUGAAAGAUGGUAGAGAACUAGAACCAUCUUCGUCUAAAGAGGAGUUAUCAAUGCAUAGUACCAAUGACAACUUUUCGUCCUUAAAAGAAGAUGAUUUUUCUGAAAUUAAAGAAAAAGUAUUACAGAAACAGUUUGGGGUUGAAAAUGAUGAUGAUGAGAAUCCCUCUGACCUUUUGAAAGUUCACCGAAUCAGCCCAUAUAGGAAAAAUAUUUUGAAAGUAUAAAGUAAAUUUGUGAAGACAACAUAAUAAGAGACACUAGACUUAUACUAACAAUAGACUAACUUCAUAUGUGUUUUAACAUAGCAUCUAUAAAAGUAUUUAAAUAAUUUAUCUUAUAUAGAAUAUACUCGUGUUAUUGUGUAAUAUGAUAUGCAUGUAAUUAAAAUUAAACUAAAUACAAUACAUCAUGUCUGGAUGAACCAUAAUUAUUGACCAAGUUGUCUUAAUUAGAUAAACCUUAUAACUGUACCGUUAUUGAUAAUAAAAAAUCUGUUUGGUGGUAAAUUAUUUGGCAUGCAUUUUAAACCUUCCAGGUAAAGUUAUAACAAAUAUUAUCUUAUUUUAUACAUUCUUAACCCCAUAUUUAUAUGAAGGGUAGGUUAUCUUUAAAAAAUACUAUAUUUAGGUAUAUGUUAUUUCACGAUAAUAUUUCGGUUUACGUUGCUUGAAUUGAACAAUCUUUAAUUAUGCAUUGGAUAUAAUAUACCUGUUCUUCAAUAACUGCAGGUAAAUACUGUGUAGAAUUAUUUUAACACCAACGGUUGUAACCUUGUUCCUCGUCUAAUGUAAGUCGUUUAUUCUGACAUAUAAAUCUGUAAUAUUCUUGUUAUAUUUAUUAAAUUGUUAUUUUUUUGACAUUAACUACUGUUUUUUUUAUGCUAUGCCUUCAUUCGCACUGACUGGAAAAUUAUCGUAAUGGAUUGCUAAAAAAUCGACUUCAUAAUGACGUGUUGUCAAUAAUCGCUGUCGUAAUAAUGGCAUAGAUUACCGCCAAAAGUUGGUAAUUAUAUUAAAUUAACAUAACAUAUUUUUAUGGAUAUUCUCUAUUUAACCUAACUGAAAAUACGAUAAAAAGUGCACUAUUACUUAUAUAUUGAGUAAGUUAUUAAAGUAAAUAUUUUAAGAGGCUAUAAAUUGGAUUGAUAAAAGAUUUUUAUGAUGGACAUUAAAAACUUAUGUACAACUCCGAUAAAAGCUUUCCUGUAGACUGUAAAGUGUUGUUAGUGAUAAAAAUAGGUUUCUUUUAAUUUUUUUUUCAUUUACUUAUAAAACAGUGUCCGUCUAGGGUUUUAUAUUUAAAUCUUACUUAAAUAAAUAUAUAGAAUAAUUCGAGACAA